rnacentral:lncRNA from 1 species
CCGAUUUUCGAACUUAUAAGCAUGAUUUCUAGUGAGACGAAUAUAAAUACGUGCUGUAACAGAAACUGAACUCAUUCACUUUGCACUCUAUAGGUAUGAUAUUUAACUAUAAAGCUGGCUUUAACCCUAUAGGCAUGAUUUCAAUUAUUAGAGCCAUUUAGAUCCUAUAGGCAUGAUUUCUAAUAUUAUGGAAGUAAAGAAAACAUAGCAAAUGUAUUAACACAAUUCUAUAGGCAUGGUCUCUACCUAAGUUACCCAACAUAUAUAACUACCCACUCUUUUUACUAAUCACCUUGUUUACAAAUAAUUAUUGCAAACUAGCUAAAUAAAUUACAUAAACAGAUAAAAAAAAGAAAGUGACUAUAGGGAGCCUGAAGUAGGCCCAAGUGACUUCCCAAGCCUCCAAUAGGUUCAAAUGCCAAAGUUCCAUAAACAAGAUCAUGUCUAGGUGUGUCAGAGUUCCCUAAGGACCUCAAGGAUCUCGAGCAGUGCUCACACCUGGACCAUUUUCUCAAACAAUUACUGAUUUAUCUGCAGUGUGGAAAGGCCAGCUCUGACAUGCCUGAGUUCAGAGAGAUCCCAAGGUCUCAAGGCAGUACACAUAUCAUAGGGGCAGAACCAAUAUACUAAGAGUAAAGUGAGAGUGCUUUACAUAGUUUUAUUUUGAAAAUAGUAUAGAGAUGACUUUAGAAGUAAAAGAGAUUUUUCAGAGACAAGAAAUAGUUUUUUGGUAAAAGACAGUUUGAGAAGAGUAUCAAAACAACAGUCAAUCAAUCGGUCAUAAAAACAUCCAGAUUUAGAAAACACCUAAUAGACAGACCUUACAUAGGGGUAAAAGGAUUGGGACACGUAAGAGUCACAUUGGGGUGUAUGGAUAGGAAGAGAGGAAACAUGUAGUCACAAACUAUAUACAACACUAAGGAUCUUAGAGACUUAGUAAAUAGCUAGGACAUAGAUAAUAGUUGGCAUAUCUUGAACAAGGAUAAUCAUAAAGUUUGGAAAUUCUAGAAGAAGAGGUAAGCAGGAAAGAGUGCAUACGUUGAACAUGACAUAAUUUUAGACAUGCUAGUCAAAGAAGUAAGCAAAAAGAGUGCAGAAUUAAAGAAUACGUUGAACAUGCAGAUUUUAGACAUGCUGAGCAGAGUAGUAGGCAGGAAUACAACUUGAAUUCAUAAUUGAUGAACUAGUGCAGGGAUGAAAAUACAUAGGGUGUGGAUUCUAAAUUAACUAGAGACAUACCAGUUGAAGAAAAGGAUGCAAAAUAUAAAGCAAAUGAAGUUCUAAUAUCUAGCCUUGGCUUUUAGCCGGCUAGAUCAGCAAGUAGUAUAAAUAGUAGAAGAGAAAGAGAAAUUUUAAAGUGUAAGUGUGCUUUUUAUGAACUAAUGUUCUAUCUAAUGAGUAUUGAAGAAAGCAUAUAUAUAGUAGUUUGAAUCUAGGUAAAUAAGGUAAAAAUCAAAUUGUUCAGUAAUUGGAGAAUCUCGGAAUCAAUUAGAGUAAAAUCAGUCCAAGUCUUUCCUUAAUUAAGAUAGUCAUUGCAAACGGUAAAGAACAAGUACCAAAUAAGGAAAAGAGUUCAAAAGAACUAGGUACAGAAUAAUCAAUUAGGGGCAGAUACAUAAAGUUCUAAUUAUGGAAAUAACAGAAAGAAUCAAGUAAUAACGCAUACAAAGCAAUGAAAAUUAAUUAAGGCAAGCAAUUCAAUCAAAUCGAGUAGAGAGGUAAGAAUUGAAAUUUUGAGGGAGAAUGUUCAAAUUAAACCAAGAAAUAAGGAAUUCAGAAUAUUGAAUGGUUGAAUCAAAGAGAAAGUCAUGAAAAGAUCAGUACGUUUAGCAUAUAAGUAAGGUAAAACAUGAAUAGUCAAGAAUCAACAUAUAACUUUAACAAAACAAAAGAUAGAACGACACUGAUUCAAGGAGAAUGUUACAGGUCUUAUCAUGAAUAGUCAAGACGAACACAAGCACAUAAAAUCAGUGAAAGGUCAAACUAAUAAAUUUAGUAGAAGCAUAUUAGGGCAAGAAAGUCAUGAGAAAUUACAAAAGCCGAAAGAAAGCACAUAAUAAGAUAUACCAAUACUCAGAGGACAAAUGAAGAAUCCCAAAAAAUUAGAGUAUUCAGUGCAAGCAAGUUAAAGUUGCAAUAGACUCAUAAAAUCAGUCAAAAUAUAUGAGAAUCAGAAGGUUAAACACAGAAAAUCAUCAAACAAUUUUUUAAAAGAAAUUCUAAAAACCCUACUUUUAGGAAAAGAUAAAAAUCACUUUAAAAUCAUUCGAUUCUUGUAAAGAAUCUUAAGGCCAUUGUAAAACUCACAUGAAACAAACCCAAAUCAACUUAGAUCUGUACACAUCUAAGAUGUUUAGAAAAGAAAUUAGGGUUUCAGAGAGAACAAUAGAGAGGUGAAUGAACCUGCUUAGUGAAAGAGACCAUUGGAGGCCUGAAAGAUGGUGAAAGAUCAUCGAAGAUGGCCAUGGAAGAGGGUCAGUGGGGGUUUGGUCGAGAGCUUUUGAGAGAUGAGAGCAACAGAUGACGACAGUGAGAAGAG